ensembl:rRNA 5_8S_rRNA 5.8S ribosomal RNA
GACUCUUAGAGGUAGAUCACUCUGCUUGGGCAUCGAUGAAGAACGCAGCUAGCUGCAAGAAAUCAAUAUGAGUUGCAGGACACAUUGAUCAUCCACACUUCGAACACAUUCCAUCUGUAGACCAGGCUGGCCUCAAACUCACAGAGAUCCGCCUGCCUCUGUCUCC